UUUCCGCCGCCGCCACCCACUCACCAUCUCCCUCGGGAUCCUCCCAGAUCCAUCCACUCCACCCAGCCGACACGACCACCUCCCUCGUUUUCAGCACGGGCCAAUCUCCUCCUCCAUCCAAUCGAGCCAACCAAGCCACGCCGCUCAAUCCCGCAGGAGCCCGAGGCCUCCACGCUGGAGCCACGAGCGCCACCGCCACCAUUUGGAGCGCCGCCGUUGCCGGAGAUGAGUGCCCCGCUGCCCCAUGCUUCUUCUCCCUCUCCUCUCAUUCGUUUCUCUUGGCUCUCUAGCUCUCUGCCUCUCAAGUCUCCCUAUUAUCUCCCCGUGUAGGAGCCGUGGAAGCCAUGGACUGAAUUCGGCCUUGAGGUCCCGACGCCGCCAUCUCCUGCAUCUGCUGCCGCGCUAAGUCCCGCUUCCUCGCAUGCGCCUCAAGUCCGUCCCCGCGUCGUCACGGGCCUCCCUUGCUUCGCCUUGGUCUGCCAUGGCCCCUUGCCCGCACGCCAAGUUCUUGCUGCGGACGCCUCGAUCUGCCAUGCCGACGCCUUCCAUGGAGUUCCCUGCAGCCUCCCGUCAGCGUCAUCUCAAGCCGAACCUCGCCGUCCGCCACCAUGGACGUCCCGACGUACGAGCUCGCUGUCGACCGCACCCGGAUUCCUCGUCCUUGACCGGAUCCGUGCUCCAUCCCGCCGUUCCCAGUGUACCCCACGAUCGCCUCGCCGGCCUUCUCUGUAGUCCGCCGUUGUUGUCCCGUGCGCCGCGCCCUAUUCGUCUGCAAUGAGCGCGCCCUUGCGCGUUGACCAGCCGCUGCUGCUUCCCGAUCGAGUGCCUAGGCCGACCUCGCCUUGUGCCUCAUCGCGGCCUAGCAAGGCGCUGAGGCCCAGCCUCUCAACCAGCCUGUCUCUUCCACCAACCGGGCCAAGGCCCAAUAGUUUUGAGGAUCCGUUCAACUACGUCCGUUUGUCUUGUUCAUGGACUCGUUCUUCUUCU